rnacentral:rRNA from 1 species
ACGGAAGGUCCGGGCGUUAUCCGGAUUUAUUGGGUUUAAAGGGAGCGUAGGCCGGAGAUUAAGCGUGUUGUGAAAUGUAGAUGCUCAACAUCUGAACUGCAGCGCGAACUGGUUUCCUUGAGUACGCACAAAGUGGGCGGAAUUCGUGGUGUAGCGGUGAAAUGCUUAGAUAUCACGAAGAACUCCGAUUGCGAAGGCAGCUCACUGGAGCGCAACUGACGCUGAAGCUCGAAAGUGCGGGUAUCGAACAG